UGCCUUGAGUUUGCAUGUGGGCUUCUUUGCAUGUGUUUAUCCUUGCAAUUACACACACACACUUGCACACACAUAUGCCCAAAACGUCCAUCCUCAUGCAUGCAAUCCAUUUGAGCCCAAUAUUGAUCCAACAUGCACCAAAAUGCAUUUUUCUUGCCAAGGUUGUUAUUAAGGCCUACAAACAAAUGAAAAUGGCUUUAAACACUAAAAUAACUAUGGAAACACAACGUAAACGCACGAGAACAAGCCAAUUAAGUUGCAUAAAAAAUGCUCCUAUCAAAUUCCCCCACACUUAGCUUUUGCUAGUCCUCGAGCAAAACAAAGAAAUAAAAUGAAACAAAACAAAUAAAACACAACCUAAACCUUCCAACAUUUGCCUCAGGGAUUUCCAAUGCACAUGACAUGCUAAAAAUCAUUAUCCCCACAGAUUUGAGUCAUCUUCACACUUAAGCACGUACUUAAUCAUAGUCACCACUUACUAGUUCACAAUUAAUUGAUUAAAACAAUGUUUUUGAUGUAGUAACAUGCCUUAGAGAAUUUACUCAAGUCCUUACAAAGUAUGCACUCAAUUUUCACUCAGAUUUUCUAACUACACA
rnacentral:lncRNA from 1 species